UCACUUGUCCCUUAAAUGAGGACGCGUAUGAAAGGCAACAUGAGAGAAGACCUGUCUCUUAAGGAUUGCCAAUGAAAUUGAACUGCCAGUUCAAAAGCUGGUAUUAAAAAGCAAGACAAAAAGACCCUGUGGAACUUUAAUUAACUGCUUUACACAAUAUAAACCAGUAAUUUCAGUUGGGACAACUUUAGAAAAAAUAAACUUCCUAUUUACUAAGACUGACUAGUCUACAAACCCAUUACGACCCAGUAAUACUGAUUAACGAAACAAGCUACCCCAGGGAUAACAGCGCCACCUUCUCAAAGAGUUCAUAUCAACAAGAAGAUCUACGACCUCGAUGUUGGACCAGGGUACCCAGACGGUG
rnacentral:rRNA from 1 species